GAACGCUGGCGGCAGGCCUAACACAUGCAAGUCGAGCGAGGUAGCGAUAUCUAGCGGCGGACGGGUGAGUAACGCGUGGGAACGUACCCUUUGGUUCGGAAUAGCCCUGGGAAACUGGGAGUAAUACCGGAUACGGUCGAGAGACGAAAGAUUUAUCGCCGAAGGAUCGGCCCGCGUUGGAUUAGGUAGUUGGUGGGGUAAUGGCCUACCAAGCCGACGAUCCAUAGCUGGUUUGAGAGGAUGAUCAGCCACACUGGGACUGAGACACGGCCCAGACUCCUACGGGAGGCAGCAGUGGGGAAUCUUAGACAAUGGGCGCAAGCCUGAUCUAGCCAUGCCGCGUGAGCGAUGAAGGCCUUAGGGUUGUAAAGCUCUUUCAGGGGGGAAGAUAAUGACUGUACCCCCAGAAGAAGCCCCGGCUAACUCCGUGCAGCAGCCCGCGGUAAUACGGAGGGGGCUAGCGUUGUUCGGAAUUACUGGGCGUAAAGCGCACGUAGGCGGACCAGAAAGUCAGAGGUGAAAGCCCGGGGCUCAACCCCGGAACGGCCUUUGAAACUCCUGGUCUUGAGUUCGAGAGAGUGAGUGGAAUUCCGAGUGUAGAGGUGAAAUUCGUAGAUAUUCGGAGGAACGCCAGUGGCGAAGGCGGCUCACUG
rnacentral:rRNA from 1 species